rnacentral:rRNA from 1 species
UGGGGAAUUUUGGACAAUGGGCGAAAGCCUGAUCCAGCAAUGCCGCGUGUGUGAAGAAGGCCUUCGGGUUGUAAAGCACUUUUGUCCGGAAAGAAAUCCUUGGCUCUAAUACAGUCGGGGGAUGACGGUACCGGAAGAAUAAGCACCGGCUAACUACGUGCCAGCAGCCGCGGUAAUACGUAGGGUGCAAGCGUUAAUCGGAAUUACUGGGCGUAAAGCGUGCGCAGGCGGUUUGCUAAGACCGAUGUGAAAUCCCCGGGCUCAACCUGGGAACUGCAUUGGUGACUGGCAGGCUAGAGUAUGGCAGAGGGGGGUAGAAUUCCACGUGUAGCAGUGAAAUGCGUAGAGAUGUGGAGGAGUACCGAUGGCGAAGGCAGCCCCCUGGGCCAAUACUGACGCUCAUGCACGAAAGCGUGGGGGAGCAAACAGGAUUAGAUACCCUGGUAGUCCACGCCCUAAACGAUGUCAACUAGUUGUUGGGGAUUCAUUUCCUUAGUAACGUAGCUAACGCGUGAAGUUGACCGCCUGGGGGAGUAC